AGGAUGAACGCUGGCGGCGUGCUUAACACAUGCAAGUCGAACGAUGAAGGCUGGAGCUUGCUCUGGCUGGAUUAGUGGCGAACGGGUGAGUAACACGUGAGUAACCUGCCCCAGACUCUGGGAUAAGCGCUGGAAACGGCGUCUAAUACCGGAUACGAGCUUCCACCGCAGGGUGAGGAGCUGGAAAGAAUUUCGGUCUGGGAUGGACUCGCGGCCUAUCAGCUUGUUGGUGAGGUAAUGGCUCACCAAGGCGACGACGGGUAGCCGGCCUGAGAGGGUGACCGGCCACACUGGGACUGAGACACGGCCCAGACUCCUACGGGAGGCAGCAGUGGGGAAUAUUGCACAAUGGGCGCAAGCCUGAUGCAGCAACGCCGCGUGAGGGACGAAAGGCCUGGUGU
rnacentral:rRNA from 1 species